UUUUUAGAAAAAUUAAAAGAAUGACUAGGGUUUACACGGGCCACCUCCGUGGUUACAAAUCUUCCCUGGGCAACGCAAGCGAAAAUGAUGCCGUCGUCGUCCACCUCUAAAUCAAAUCAUCAUCGUCGUCAAAAAGGCAAAAACAAAUCCGACUUUUUUCCAAAACCCCCAAAUCAACGGAUGAACCAUUUCAUUGAAAAUGAAAUCGUUGAAACAAUGAAGAUUGGAAAACUCAUUGGCGUCGAUUUCAAUACACCGGAUCAUGUCGACCAUCUCAGAAAGAUUAUUUCUGCUGAACAAGUGACAAAGCCAUCAACAUCAAAGUCAAGUCGACGAAAAGGCAAGAAGUCCAACUUUGUUCCGAAGCCCAAGCAGGUAUGGCAGGUGAAGCAACCGACAAGGAACUGGUUGGAUCUUCCGUCAGAUGUAAUGGCGAAUAUACUCUCUAGAAUUGGUGUGUUUGACAUACUUGACAAUGCCCAAAAAGUGUGCACUACUUGGCGUCGUAUCUGUAAAGAGCCUGCUAUGUGGAGGGUUGUUUCAAUGGACUCAUCAUAUUAUCCAAAGGGUGUAUUACAAACAAUUUGUAAGCAUGUUGUGGAUAGAAGCCAGGGCCAGAUGGUAGAUAUCUGUAUCAAGGGCUUUUGCGAUAAGGACCUUCUUCGGUAUAUUGCUGAUAGAUCCAGUCAGCUUAGAUGUCUAAAAAUUACUUAUUCUUAUAAUAAAGUGAGUGGAGUCUGGGGUGAAUCUUUGAAUAAGUUAUCAUUAUUGGAGGAACUCAGCAUUUGUGAAACAGAAUUCUCGCGUAAAGAUGUCGAAGCUGCUGGCCUCUUCUGUCCCUUGCUGAAAACACUCAAAGUUAAUCGAAAGUCAAAUAAAUACUAUAAUGAUGAUGAGGAUGAGUCCAGGCCUGGUAGGAAUACGUUAGCUGUAGCAAUUGGGAAAAACCUACCUGGGUUAAAGCACCUUGAAUUAAUUGAUGACACCAUGACGGAUGUUGGAUUAAGGGCGAUUCUAGAUGGAUGUAGUCACCUUGAAUUACUUGAUUUGCGUCGGUGUAUGUUCAUUGAUCUGAAGGGAGACCUUGGAAAAAGAUGUUCAGAACAGAUUAAACAUCUAAAGCUUCCUCAUGAUUCUCUUGAAGGCUGUCCUGAUAUUCCACAGUAUGAUUCUGAUGAGGGUUUUUUUGUAGACUCCGAUUUCGAUUGUGAUUACUUUGAUGAGUAUGAUGAGUAUGAUGAUUACACAUCCAUUGAUUAUGAUAAUUUAUAUAACUUUGAAGACCCCUUGGAGCAGUGGAUAGCUUACAAGGAUAUGUUGGAAGAAUUACACCUCAAUUGAUCUUGAUAAUUUAUAUAACUUUGAGAAUUGAAUGAUUGGAUGGCUUUUAAGCCUAUGUUGGAAGAAUAGUUUGCAAUGCAGAAAAAGGUGUGGCUCUUGGCUUCCAGAACAACCUUCUUUCUGGCUUUGACAGGAAAGCUCAAUUUGGUUAUUAUUUUUCUGCCAAUGGUUGUCAUUUUGUUGUUUUUUUUAAACCUCCAAACGUUUAUUGGUCAUGUCUCCAUCUUUGUGCUUCAAUUCUUGCAAACACUUGAGAAAAUGCUGUGGGAUUUUUUCUAUGUUUCUUGGAACUGAAACACGUUUUCUUGAUGGUUCUGAAUCUUUUUGAUUAUUGGCCUGUUACUACA